rnacentral:rRNA from 1 species
GACAGAGGGUGCAAACGUUGUUCGGAAUUGCUGGGCGUAAAGCGCGUGUAGGCGGCCAUCUAAGUCGGGCGUGAAAUCCCACGGCUCAACCGUGGAAGUGCACUCGAAACUGGAUGGCUAGAGUCCUGGAGAGGAAGGUGGAAUGCUUGGUGUAGAGGUGAAAUUCGUAGAUAUCAAGCGGAGCACCGGUGGCGAAGGCGGCCUUCUGGACAGUGACUGACGCUGAGACGCGAAAGCGUGGGGAGCAAACAGG